AUUUUACACUUAUAAACUACUACAUAAUGCAUCUGUCGCAAUAAUUAAUAUCCUUGAUAAACUAACAACUACAACAAUUGCUACAUGGAACAGAUGCCAUAAAAUGCUAUGUGUGUAUUUCAACUCUCUGUGAAGACAAUAGAACAGCAGAAAGGUAAAAAAAAUACAUAGUCAGCGGUUCGCCAGACAGUGAACGAUGGUAUUAGGAAAAGUGGUUCAAUACAUAUGUGAAUAUGUGACCAGCCAUUUGAGGAUAUUAAACUCUACCACAUUCUUGAAGAAUGUAAUCAAAUAUAUAUUUGUCGAUAAAUACAUGAAUAAAUCACCGAGGUUACUUGUAAAUUAUACA